rnacentral:rRNA from 1 species
GAUGAACGCUGGCGGCGUGCCUAAUACAUGCGAGUCGAGCGAACAGAUAAGGAGCUUGCUCCUUUGACGUUAGCGGCGGACGGGUGAGUAACACGUGGGUAACCUACCUAUAAGACUGGGAUAACUUCGGGAAACCGGAGCUAAUACCGGAUAACAUUUGGAACCGCAUGGUUCUAAAGUGAAAGAUGGUUUUGCUAUCACUUAUAGAUGGACCCGCGCCGUAUUAGCUAGUUGGUAAGGUAACGGCUUACCAAGGCGACGAUACGUAGCCGACCUGAGAGGGUGAUCGGCCACACUGGGACUGAGACACGGUCCAGACUCCUACGGGAGGCAGCAGUAGGGAAUCUUCCGCAAUGGGCGAAAGCCUGACGGAGCAACGCCGCGUGAGGGAUGAAGGGUUUCGGCUCGUAAAACUCUGUUAUUAGGGAAGAACAAAUGUGUAAGUAACUGUGCACGUCUUGACGGUACCUAAUCAGAAAGCCACGGCUAACUACGUG